AAAGGCCCUUCGGGGUACUCGAGCGGCGAACGGGUGAGUAACACGUGAGUAACCUGCCCUGGACUUUGGGAUAACCCUCGGAAACGGGGGCUAAUACCGGAUACGACGCGGAUCUGCAUGGAUCUGUGUGGAAAGUUUUUCGGUCUGGGAUGGGCUCGCGGCCUAUCAGCUUGUUGGUGGGGUGAUGGCCUACCAAGGCGACGACGGGUAGCCGGCCUGAGAGGGCGACCGGCCACACUGGGACUGAGACACGGCCCAGACUCCUACGGGAGGCAGCAGUGGGGAAUAUUGCACAAUGGGCGGAAGCCUGAUGCAGCGACGCCGCGUGAGGGAUGACGGCCUUCGGGUUGUAAACCUCUUUCAGCAGGGACGAAGCGGAAGUGACGGUACCUGCAGAAGAAGCGCCGGCCAACUACGUGCCAGCAGCCGCGGUAAGACGUAGGGCGCGAGCGUUGUCCGGAUUUAUUGGGCGUAAAGAGCUCGUAGGCGGCUUGUCGCGUCGACUGUGAAAACCCGCGGCUCAACCGCGGGCCUGCAGCCGAUACGGGCAGGCUAGAGUUCGGUAGGGGAGACUGGAAUUCCUGGUGUAGCGGUGAAAUGCGCAGAUAUCAGGAGGAACACCGGUGGCGAAGGCGGGUCUCUGGGCCGAUACUGACGCUGAGGAGCGAAAGCGUGGGGAGCGAACAGGAUUAGAUACCCUGGUAGUCCACGCUGUAAACGUUGGGCGCUAGGUGUGGGGGACCUCUCCGGUUCUCUGUGCCGCAGCUAACGCAUUAAGCGCCCCGCCUGGGGAGUACGGCCGCAAGGCU
rnacentral:rRNA from 1 species